AAUGAACGCUGGCGGCAUGCCUAACACAUGCAAGUCGAACGAAGGCUUCGGCCUUAGUGGCGCACGGGUGCGUAACGCGUGGGAAUCUGCCCUCAGGUUCGGAAUAACAGCGAGAAAUUGCUGCUAAUACCGGAUGAUAUCGCGAGAUCAAAGAUUUAUCGCCUGAGAAUGAGCCCGCGUAGGAUUAGCUAGUUGGUGUGGUAAAGGCGCACCAAGGCGACGAUCCUUAGCUGGUCUGAGAGGAUGAUCAGCCACACUGGGACUGAGACACGGCCCAGACUCCUACGGGAGGCAGCAGUGGGGAAUAUUGGACAAUGGGCGAAAGCCUGAUCCAGCAAUGCCGCGUGAGUGAUGAAGGCCUUAGGGUUGUAAAGCUCUUUUACCCGGGAUGAUAAUGACAGUACCGGGAGAAUAAGCUCCGGCUAACUCCGUGCCAGCAGCCGCAGUAA
rnacentral:rRNA from 1 species